rnacentral:misc_RNA from 1 species
CAUAAUAAGUGUUUUAUGGCACUUUUUAAAUCCAUAUCCACCUUGUGUGCAAUGUCGGUCGAUCUUCUUCAUGGAGAUCGACCAAACAUCAACCUUUAUCUUUUAACUCUUUGUCUGAAAAAUAUUAUGAAUAAACAAUUCAAAAUA